AGAGUUUGAUCCUGGCUCAGAAUCAACGCUGGCGGCGUGCCUAACACAUGCAAGUCGCACGAGAAAGGGUAGCAAUACCUGAGUAAAGUGGCGCACGGGUGAGUAACACGUGAAUCAUCUACCUCCGAGUGUGGAAUAACUUAGGGAAACCUGAGCUAAUACCGCAUAACAUCUACGGAUCAAAGCAGCAAUGCGCUUGG
rnacentral:rRNA from 1 species